rnacentral:lncRNA from 1 species
AAAUAGCACUUAAUGUUUUAUCAAAAGUUACAAACUUAGGGUUUAGAGUUAAAGGGUGGGGUUUAAGAUUUAGGGUUUAGGGUUUAGAGUUUAGGGUUUAGAGUUUAGAGUUUAGGGUUUAGGGUUUAGGGUUUAGGGUUUAGGGUUUAGAGUUUAGGAUUUAGGGUUUAGAGUUUAAGGUUUAGGGUUUAGAGUUGAGAAAUGAGGUUUUGGGGAUAAGAUUUCAAAUUUUGAAAAAUAAAAAAAUUUAAAUUUUCAAAAGAUAAACUUAGAAAGGUGCUAUUUUGGUCAUUUUAGUUUUGGAGUGCUAUUUUUGUGAUAUAAACUUAUAAA